UACAGAGGUCCCAAGCGUUGUUCGGAUUCACUGGGCGUAAAGGGUGUGUAGGCGGUUGUUUAAGUUUGGUGUGAAAUCUCCCGGCUCAACUGGGAGGGUGCGCCGAAUACUGAAUGACUUGGAGUGCGGGAGAGGAGAGUGGAAUUCCUGGUGUAGCGGUGAAAUGCGUAGAUAUCAGGAGGAACACCGGUGGUGUAGACGGCUCUCUGGACCAAUACUGACGCUCAUGCACGAAAGCGUGGGGAGCAAACAGG
rnacentral:rRNA from 1 species